GGAACGAGAUGGGUUGGCUAGCAAGGAAAGGACUUCAUACACACAAAGUAUUUUGCUAUGGAAUUGUAAUCAUUCGAUUCUGAAACAAGAUGCAGUCCCCUAGAAGCCAUUCGACACUUCCCUUUGCUACCUGGAAGGAAUGAACUUGACCAUCCUUUUGUUAAAAAUCUCCAAGAGAAGUAGUGUGCUGCAUCCCGCGCAGCCUCCCGGUACAUGCGUGUAUGUGCCUAUUUUAGCUGUGGAUGUAUACUUAGCUGUGUAGGCAAGCGCUAGCGCCCUCUGCUGGAACAAAGUAGAAUUCUCUCCUCGCGUAACAAUUGUUUCUUCAGGCUGAGGUAAUGGAUUCGUUUCCUUGAGCUCACCAGAAAGGACGAGGUUUCGACAAGGACUUCCUGGCAUUUAUUCCUCUGACAUCUGGCAUACCACUGGCAGCAAUCAAGACAUACAACCUUGUCAUUUGGGAGAUUUGUUCACCCAAAGGAAGACUUGAUGGUACUCACCAGUUAGAGCUUCAAAGGGCGUCUCCUCGAUACGUAAUAAAUGCUGGCUCUCCACCGUCAGUCCGUCCUCAGUAUGCAGGUGCGGCUGCUAUGGCUGCGCACAUCGUUAAGUGCUGCACACUCCACCUUCCCGCUGGACCACCCACCGGAGGUUAGCAUCGGGAAUCUCCAAGGAGGCCUCUUGGGGCUGAAGAGUUGGGAGAGGCUCCCAGGCUUGAAGCAAUAAAUGAGCAAGUCAACAAUCUUCUCUACCUGGGCACACUGAGCCUACAUGCCUGGAAACAGCCAAUAUUCUACCAUGGACUUAGUCAAAUCCACUGAUGGAGUACAAACAUAAGGGAUCACUCAUAGAGCACUGUGAUCUUCCACCCCUGUCUGGACCUGUUACAGAAUACUGAAAGUCAGAAGCAUGGUGUCACAUAAGGAAGAUGAAGCCUUCAAAUAAAUCUGCAGCCCCUCCUGGUAUUUUAUUUGGUCUAGGAAAAACCUUUGGGCUCCCUGUGCCAACCCCUCCAUUCCCUCUCCCUCCUGGGAUUUCUAGGACCACCAUUUGCCACUCCUCUCUCUGUCCUUGUUCUCUAGUCCUCAUCUGAUUGGCUAACACAGUAGGCAUUCCAUAUUUUGAUGACCUCUUUGUGACAUGCAGGGAGAAGAACUGAUCUUGUUCAUGGCAGGUUUAGCUCACAAGCCUAUCUUCUACUUGUUUCCUUGCAACAUCAUUUAGCUACUGCAUCUGUUAGCCACCCCUUCACUCAGAGGCAGCUGUGCAAAGAUUGAACCAUGUGAUCCUGAAAGCACAACACUGAAAGCUUCUGACUGUGCCAAGAGGAGAGAGUAGGGAAACAAAGGCCAAAGCCAGGGCCAAAGCCAGCUGCCAGGAACCCCCAUCUCCAACAGCAACACAGGAAAAUAAUAGUGAGGCUCCAUUUACCAUCACUCUCCUCCCCAGAGAAGCUCUCUGGAUUGGAGAUGAAAACUUCCUCCCCAAACCAUAUCUUCACCCUUUUCCCACCCUUCUGUACUCCCCACUCUUGGGAAUGAAGCACCAGGGCUCAGGAAACAAGGUGCUUUUUUCUCUCUCCCUGGAGGGACUGAGUGCUGCUAUCCCAGGCCCUGCAGAAUUCCUGAAGAAUUCAGGGCUUAGGGAAAGUGAAGGAGGACCUCUUGAAGGUGAAGCCCAAAAGUUCAAUAAGGACUGUAUAACUUGAAUAGGGGACCAGCUCAGUAAACUAUUAGACUUAGGUUGUGUGCAAGGCUAAAACAUCUCCAACUGGUUGUGUUCCCAUUUCUCUAUGCAAUGCUUGUCCUGCUCUUGGUUGAUGGAUUCUGCUAGGAGGCCUUCAGGAGAGAAAAGAAACAAUCUCUUCCCUCAUAUCUUUUUCUCUUUCUUUACUUCCCCAGACUCGCUUUUCUCCCUCCCUCUCUCCCUCCCUCCUUCCCUCUUUCUAAAGUCUUAGUUCUACUGCAGGCCCUUGACCUCGACACUUCAGUUAGACUAUUACCAGACUCACAACAUACUUCCUAAAUAAUCUUCAACCAAACCUUUUGACUUUCUUUGAUUUUCAAAAAAUACUCACUUCCACCUAUCCUUUUUCUUGAGGAUAAAAUGGGGUUUAAAAAGUGACUGAUAAAAUACUUUAAACACCUAUAGAAAUAUUACUACAUAAAUAAAGGGACAGAGGUCACACAUCCUGCUGAUAAGUGUGAGGACAGUUGUUACCUAUAAAAAUAUUGGCAGUGUUCAAUGGAUUAUUUUUUUUAAGAUGAUUUAUUUUGAGAAAGAAAUAGAGAAAUCCCAAGCAGGCCCCACACUACCAGCAUGGAGCCUGAUGCAGAACUUGAACUCAUGAACCAUGAGAUCAUGACCUGAACUGAAAUCAAGAGCAGCAUGCUUAACCAACUGACCCAGUGGGUUAUUUUUAAUAUAGGAAAUUGAAGUUUUUCUUCUUAGAAGACAUUUAUUUUCUAACCUCUACUAUUUGUCAGAUAUCACUGACAUCCAAUAAAAAAGUCAGGCUUUUAUUGACAAGUUGCUUUUGGUUUUCAUUUUCAUUCUACAUCAUAAGUUGAACCAACAUCAAAAUUAUUUUUAUGUGCUUUUCCACAGUGUUAAAUUUAGUCACAAUCACUCAAAUCUUAAAUGAUAUCAUGGAAUCUACAAGUAAAUCUGAAGUGCUAUGGGUUUGAGUGGAAAUGAAGAUCUUGAUCUUGCCUUGCACCUUGCUGUGUGCCUGUGAGCAAGUAAUUUGGUGUCCUUAUCUGUUACAUGAUAUUUAAGGCUUGUGUGGCACUCACAGUCCAUUAAUCUAUAAGCUAAUGAUUUGGUAAGUCUUUCUUAGAAUGAAUACAGAAUUAUGCCAUUGAACACCUAUACUGACUACAUUUUGCCUCAAGAUGGUAACUUAUCUUCACAAAUUGAACUUAAGGUGUUAUCUAGGUGGCAUUUAGGAGAGCUUCCAAGUGGUCCCACAUCAAAAAAUCAUUUGUAGAAGGAAGAAGUUACAGACAGAUAAACUUGAACGGCCAAAUGAUUGAGUUAAAAUGGAGACCUUUUUUAAGAAAGUUAGUUCUAAUCUCCCCACAAACAGCAAUGUUCAGGAAAUCCUAGGUCUCUCUGAUAAGGUCUUUAUUAACCCUUACAAUACUUUCCAACAAAGAACAUUGAUUUAAAAAUAUACUAUUGGCACAUAUAUAAUGUCUUAUGUUCUCUGACAAUCUUAACCCACAUCAUCUGGUACUUGG